GAAGUAAAAGUCGUAACAAGGUCUCCGUAGGUGAACCUGCGGAGGGAUCAUUACACAAAUAUGAAGGCGGGCUGGAAUCUCUCGGGGUUACAGCCUUGCUGAAUUAUUCACCCUUGUCUUUUGCGUACUUCUUGUUUCCUUGGUGGGUUCGCCCACCACUAGGACAAACAUAAACCUUUUGUAAUUGCAAUCAGCGUCAGUAACAAAUUAAUAAUUACAACUUUCAACAACGGAUCUCUUGGUUCUGGCAUCGAUGAAGAACGCAGCGAAAUGCGAUAAGUAGUGUGAAUUGCAGAAUUCAGUGAAUCAUCGAAUCUUUGAACGCACAUUGCGCCCUUUGGUAUUCCAAAGGGCAUGCCUGUUCGAGCGUCAUUUGUACCCUCAAGCUUUGCUUGGUGUUGGGCGUCUUGUCUCUAGCUUUGCUGGAGACUCGCCUUAAAGUAAUUGGCAGCCGGCCUACUGGUUUCGGAGCGCAGCACAAGUCGCACUCUCUAUCAGCAAAGGUCUAGCAUCCAUUAAGCCUUUUUUUCAACUUUUGACCUCGGAUCAGGUAGGGAUACCCGCUGAACUUAAGCAUAUCAAUAAGCGGAGGAA
rnacentral:rRNA from 1 species